AGUGAACGCUGGCGGUAGGCCUAACACAUGCAAGUCGAACGGCAGCACAGUAAGAGCUUGCUCUUACGGGUGGCGAGUGGCGGACGGGUGAGGAAUACAUCGGAAUCUACUUUUUCGUGGGGGAUAACGUAGGGAAACUUACGCUAAUACCGCAUACGACCUACGGGUGAAAGCAGGGGAUCUUCGGACCUUGCGCGAUUGAAUGAGCCGAUGUCGGAUUAGCUAGUUGGCGGGGUAAAGGCCCACCAAGGCGACGAUCCGUAGCUGGUCUGAGAGAAUGAUCAGCCACACUGGAACUGAGACACGGUCCAGACUCCUACGGGAGGCAGCAGUGGGGAAUAUUGGACAAUGGGCGCAAGCCUGAUCCAGCCAUACCGCGUGGGUGAAGAAGGCCUUCGGGUUGUAAAGCCCUUUUGUUGGGAAAGAAAGGCAGCAGGUUAAUACCCCGCUGUUCUGACGGUACCCAAAGAAUAAGCACCGGCUAACUUCGUG
rnacentral:rRNA from 1 species